rnacentral:rRNA from 1 species
GGAUUUACUGGGCGUAAAGGGUGCGUAGGCGGCGAUGUAAGUCGAGUGUGAAAUUUCGGGGCUCAACCCCGAAACUGCACUCGAUACUGCGUUGCUAGAGGAUUGUAGAGGAGUGUGGAAUUCACGGUGUAGCAGUGAAAUGCGUAGAUAUCGUGAGGAAGACCAGUGGCGAAGGCGACACUCUGGGCAAUUCCUGACGCUGAGGCACGAAGGCUAGGGGAGCAAACGGGAUUAGAUACCCCGGUAGUCCUAGCAGUAAACGGUGUACGUUUGGUAUGGGGGGUUCGACCCCUUCCGUGCCGGAGCUAACGCGUUAAACGUACCGCCUGGGGAGUACGGUCGCAAGAUUAAAACUCAAAGAAAUUGACGGGGGCCCGCACAAGCGGUGGAGUAUGUGGCUUAAUUCGAUGCAACGCGAAGAACCUUACCUGGUCUUGACAUGCAUUGUGUCCCCGAUGAAAGUCGGGUAUCCAGCAAUGGAGCUUUGCACAGGUGCUGCAUGGCUGUCGUCAGCUCGUGUCGUGAGAUGUUGGGUUAAGUCCCGCA